GGGGAAUCUAUUCAAAUUUGACUGAUAAAGAGCUGAAAAGACCACCCACAGGAGUUCCUUUGGCUCUCCCAAGCAAAUCAACCUUAGAGUAUGCUUUCCAGGGUCUCUAGAAACUCCCUAGUCUGUGCUGCUACCACUGGAUAGGGAGUAUAGGAAAAUAGUUACGAAUGUCACUCUGUUUAGACUAAGACAUGCUACCACAAAGCCAGUAUGUUUGCGUCACUGAGGAGGCUUGCACUGCUUGGACGGAC